rnacentral:rRNA from 1 species
CGAAAGUCUGACGGAGCAACGCCGCGUGAGUGAUGAAGGAUUUCGGUCUGUAAAGCUCUGUUGUUUAUGACGAACGUGCAGUGUGUGAAACAAUGCAUUGCAAUGACGGUAGUAAACGAGGAAGCCACGGCUAACUACGUGCC